rnacentral:lncRNA from 10 species
CUGAAGUGUUGACACAAUUUUUUUAUUGGAUUGCUUGUUUUCUCAAUAUUACAUUUUUAGAGUUUUUCAUUCUGGAUGACUUUAUCAGAUUGACGGUUUGCAAUAUUUUUUCUCAGUGUAUGGCUAGCUUUUCAUUUUCUUGGCAAUGCUUUUAAAGGGAAGAAAGUCUGAAUUUUGAUAAAGUCUAAUUCAUUAACUUUUUCUGAAUUAAUUUUACUUUUUGCAUUAUAUCUAAAAAAUCUUUGCCUAUCACAUGAUGACAAGGUUUUCUCCUCUACUUUCUUAUAGGUAUUUUAUAGUUUAGGUUUUACAUUUAGGUCUGUGAUCCAUUUUGAAUUAACAUUUUAUAUGGUGUGAGGAAUGCAUUAAAUUCCUUUUUGGUUCACUUUUUUGGGUUUUUGUAUUGUUUUGUUUUGUUUGCAUAUGGAUAUCCAAGUGUCCCAGCACUGUUUGUUGAAAAAACUAUAUUUUAAUCUACUGAAUUACCUUUGCACUUUUAUUAAAAGAUAUGUGUGUGGUUCUAUUUCUGGACUCUUUAUUCUCUUUUAU